rnacentral:snoRNA from 1 species
AAGCAAAAACCUGAGACUUGUGAUGUCUUCAAAGGAACAACUGAUGCAC